rnacentral:ncRNA from 1 species
AGGAGCCAUAUGAGGUGAAAAUUUCACGUACGGUUUUGGAAUAGCGAUGGGCACAGUAAUGUUAUCAUCGACUAUGAU